UACGGAGGGUGUAAGCGUUGCUCGGAAUCACUGGGCGUAAAGCGACCGCAGGCGGCCUGACAAGUCGGAUGUGAAAGCCCUGGGCUCAACUCAGGAACUGCAUUCGAAACUGGUAGGCUCGAGUACGGGAGAGGGGGGUGGAAUUCCUGGUGUAGGGGUGAAAUUCGUUGAUAUCAGGAGGAACACCGGCGGCGAAGGCGGCCCCCUGGCCCGCAACUGACGCUCAUGGUCGAAAAGCGUGGGGAGCAAACAGG
rnacentral:rRNA from 1 species